rnacentral:ncRNA from 1 species
UGUUUUUGAGGUCGGAAAUGGUUCCCGACACACUCUAUGUAUGUAGAGUACCUGAGAUGAUGGAUACACCGCCCAUCCAAAAAUA